rnacentral:lncRNA from 1 species
GGGGUCGGGAGUUGGAGACCAGCCUGACCAACAUGGAGAAACCCCAACUCUACUAAAAAUACAAAAUUAGCCGGGCAUGGUGGCGCAUGCCUGUAAUCCCAGCUACUCGGGAGGCUGAGGCAGGAGAAUCGCUUGAACCCGGGAGGCGGAGGUUGUGGUGAGCUGAGAUCACGCCAUUGCACUCCAGCCUGGGCAACAAGAGCAAAACUCUCUCUCAAAAAAAAAAAAAGAAAAGAAAAAAGAAAGUAAAUAGGGGAUUUGAACAGAAACAGGUUUGCAGGUAGAAAAAAACGUCUCAACCACUGAGGUAAAUGGAAGAGCUGGAGACCAGUUUAUUCCAGACACGGAAAGCACAUAGAAUAGAACAAAUGGUGGCAAGAUGGCUUCGGCGCUCCCGGGACAGCUCGGCCCGGGCUAAAGUUGCUGCAGCUGAUGGGCCCGCCAGGAACCCAACUCAGACCCUCAUCCCUGUGCGACACACAGUAAAGAUAGACAAAGA